AGAGAGAAUUGAGACAUUGAGAGAUGGAUCUGGCGUGUCGGAUGUCCGUGAAGAGAGAAACUGUGAGGAAUUGAGAGAUGGAAGUGCUGUAUUUUUAUGCCUUGAUGGUCCAUCAGCUUAACUCAUUUGAGCUGCCAGGCAGCCGUGUGCAAUCACAAGGAUUUCUUGACAUGGAUGUUGAUCGUGCCCGCGGCCGUGUGCAGUCACAAGGACUUGGUGCUAUUGAUGCCGAUCGUGCUCGCAGUCGUGGACAAUCACAAGGACUUGGUGAUAUUGAUGACGAUCACGGGGCUGUUGAGUAUCCUCGUGAUAUAGGUAUGACGAAGAGGGCUAAGUGGACUCAUCAAAUGAAGUUGUUUCUUAUUGACUUGCUGAAAGAGCAUGAUGUUCCUGGUUUUCGAACACAAAAUGCAUGGAGCAAAGAGGCCUGGACAAACAUUGUUAAUCGACUAAAUCAAGCAUUUUGUGUAUCAUUUAGUGUUGUUCAAGUCAAACAAAAGGAGCAAGAUAUAAAGAAGGAAUAUCGAAGUGUGAAAGAAUUGUUGGCAGAAAGUGGGUUUGGAUGGGACAAGGAUAGAAUGAUGGUAGAAGCACCAGCAAGUGUUUGGGCUAGUUUUGUUGCUCGCAAGAAUAGUAAGGAGGCCCUCCAAUGGCGAGACAAGUCUUUUCCAUACUUUAAUGAUUUGGCUUCUCUCUACGAUGGUCAUUACGCCGAAGGAAGAUCUCGUCAUGGUAUGGAUUAUUAUGCUAACAAGGCAAAAAAUGCAUCUGCUCCAUCAUCGCACCCAACACAUUCGAAUGAUACAUAUGAAUCAUCUUCACCUCCAACAGUAGCUCUAGAUGAGCCAGGUUUGCAAUUUCCUUUGGAAGAAGAGGUUGAGGGAGCAAAUCUUGAUUCUGUCCAGCAUACAUCAACACCGAAUGAACAAAUGUAUACCCAAUCAAUACCCCCAAAAGCACCCACCGUGAAGCCUGAGAGUAGACGUAGAAAAAGACAGAAGCAAAAUCCUACAAGCUCUGCAGAUGGAUUCCAUGAAAGAUACCUUAGGCUCAAGAUGGAAGAAAUAAAUCGAUUUGCAGCCAUUGAGGAGAAGAAACUAGAGGAUCCAUUUAGCAUUCACAAGUGCAUCACAACGAUUGAAGGAUUAGAUGGUCUACAAUUGAGCGAUAUGUUGUUGGCAUCAGACAUCUUCAAAACUAGGGAAAACAGGGAGAUUUUCCUGUCUUUCUCUAGUGAUGAACGACGGUUGGCUUGGAUUAAAAGGGAGAUUGCUCGUACCAACGAAAACUAAGGAAAACAUGGAGGUUUUUCCUACCCUUCUCUAGCAAUGAACUUAGUGAAGCAGUACUCUUUUGUUUACUAGACCUCUAUAUUUUGGUAGAUUGAGAUGAUAAACUAGUCAUGUAGUAGUAUGCUUUUGUUUACUAGACCUCUGUAUUUUGGUACAAUGAGAGGCCUAGUAUAUGAGUUCUUUGUUUCAGACUCCCACCAUGUUUCUGAAAAAAGGACAUGAGAAUAUUAACUUAAUGAAGUAGAAUAUCAAUAUCAGAAGCACAUGAAUGGUAAUACAACUUGCAUAUCAUAUCUUCACGAUACAUAUACAUGUCAAGCUCUGCGUGAUACAUACUGGUUCCACAUUCCUUGUGCAAUAUGAUCUCGCAUUUGAUUUCCUGCUUGUCUGGAAUAAUUAAAUGCAUGUAUAUCACCAUGAUAGUCGUGGUCUCCAUUUGGCACAUCAACAAUCUGGUUCGGGUCAAUCUCCAUGGGAGCAUCUUUGGGCCACUCCAUAUCUCCUUUGUGUAGGCGUAUGAAAUUGUGCAAAACACAACAAGCCACGGAUAUGUCAAUUUGUUUAUCAACUGAAUAAUGUGCAGCAACUUUCAGGAUAGGAAAUCUCAUUUUUAGUAGCCGAUAAUUCUCUCUAUAUGAUUCCGAAGUUGAGCAUGACGAAGGUUGAACAAUUCCUUGUAAUUUUGUGGCCUUUGACGUACUUCUCCUUGUUCUUUUAGAUGAUACCUAGUACCACGGUAUGGAGCAAGAAAUUGGGGUGUGUUUGCAUAACCAGCAUCAACAAGCAAGGGGAAGAUGAAAGCAUAGAGCACAGGCAGCAAGGGGAAGAUGAAAGAAUAGAGCACAGGCAGCAAAUGCUGUGGGCAGGGAAAAGAGCUAUCCAUUGUAGAGAGUAGCAUCAGGUUAUAUAGGCACUUGCUGCUAACGGCUACUUCAGGCAGUUGACUGCACUAGCCGUUGGAAGUUUGAAAAAUAUCAGACUUACAAAUAGAAAUAAUAAUACUUUAUUGUAUAGGAUUCCUGUACGUCUCCUAUGAUGCAGCCAAAGGCACUUUGUUACCAGUUCCUUUGGAUUUGCAAUCCAUAGGAUUGGCUAUGUCAUGGCAGUCAAAUCCUCCA